UCAGCCCCUCCCUUCAGGCGUUCAGUUAGAGAGGCCAACUGUCAUUCUUGCCUCAUGAUGUUGUUUUAGUUUCUCUCAGACAGUAUGAUACUGUGUUAAAAUUUGUAUUAUUAAAGCUUUGUUUGACAUGGGCUUACUUUGCUGAAAGAAAAGAAACUCUGCUGAAGAAUGGUGGAAUAUCCUAAACUGGGGACUGCUUGCCUGAUGUUUAAGCAGAAAAUGAAUAAUACAAAGAUAAGAAGAUGCAGCAUAAAUUACUAAUGGCAAAUUAACAGCACAUCCCCAGGACAACAGCAGUGGCAAGAACAUGGACGACACCUGUUAUGCUCCACGUUUAAGAGCACUUCGAUGGAAUUAUUUAUCAGCAUAAAAAUCUGAGGGCAUCUGACAGUGCAGAAAAUUUGAAGAACCUUUGAAGAACCUUGGUCUGCAGCCCACCCUGAACCUUAGGCUCUCAAGUCACUGCAAAUAUCUGAGAUCUUGCCCACUUUGAAACAGGAACACAGAAGAAUGAAAAGCUGUUUCUAAAGCCAUAAAAUCCAUCCAUUCCAAUGACUUGGGAAGGUCAAGCUGUGAGCCUGGGGCAACCCUCCUCAUGGAACGGCCUCCCAUCAGAUGUCAAGGGGAUAAAGAACUACAAAACUUUUAGAAGACAUCUGAAGGCAGUCCUGUAUUGGUAAUGACUGGAGCCCUGACACGAUGGUGGAUGACUAAACAAAUUUCCUGUGUAAAAGUGAAGAAAAGAGCAUCCAACGCAGCCCCAAAAUAAGCAUUCAUCUUUGUCACUGACUAACAGGAGUGUGAACAGAUUUGAUGGGAUUUCAUCUGCAAAAUGUGCUUUUGGAGGAGUGACAGGAAAAGAGGCUUCAUUAUUCCCCCUGCUCUCCACAUCCUUCGACGAGACUUUAUUAUUCUCCCCAAUCAAUUUGGUACAAUGAAAGAAAAUUCUGAUCUGUGCAAGGAGCACUAAGGAAAACGUGAACUGAUCACAAGGAGUCAUUUGUUACUGACAGCAUCCAUCUUAUGUUCACAGAUGUUGCUCCACCUGCCCAGGAAGAAGGAAGGGAGGAACGAGUAAUUAGGCAAAUCUAAAUGGUCACGGGAAGAAGCAUCUACAGUAAAUGAAGCUAAUAUUGUUUUCAUUUUCCUACAGGCAAAGAUGGCGACAUGGGAUCAAAGGGGGUUAGAAUAUUAUCUGCUGAGGAUUUACUUUCCCUUAAUGUGCAAAAAUAUGGCUUUUUGAAUAUAACUUGUAGACUGUUACUUAUAGGUAUUAAAGAUGAUUUGCUCAUUCUUCCAAUGGAAAACAAAAACGGGGGGGGGGGGGACAAAGCUUACUCUUCACAAGUGCCAACUGAAAAUCUUUGUUCAUUCUGAGACAAUUAAUAUUUACAAACAUUUUUAUUAGAGGAGGGCAAUAGAGUAGAGUGGGAAGGAGAUCAUGCAUGUAAUUGUUCCAGUGGGGAUGUUACAGCAAAAUAUGCCAUCAGCAGAAAUGGAGAUAGGAAUCAGCAACAAAACGGCUUCACCUGGCAUGCCUCUCUACAGAUGGAAAUGUGCCGAAGAAUAGCACAGGAAACACCAUACCCCAUAUAUUUCCUUAGAAGUGUUCCUUUACCCCAAAGCCUCACCACCAGUUGGAGAAAAUGACUGUGUGGUCAACUAGCCUGGGACUUAGAAAGAAAUCCUGCAUAUUUUCUGAGCACCUGUUAUGAAGUUCUGCAAGGUCUCACUAGUCCUUAACUUCCAAGGAUUUCAAUGCAUUACAAUUUCUUUAGGACUCUCCCCCUCAACCCCCCCCCACCUUAAUUAAUUAGGCUGAAACAUCCUUCAUCUUUCCCACUUCCAAGGAAGGUAAAUGUUUGUGACAAUCCUAAUCUCUUAACAUGGGAAAAGAGUAACAGAAGGUAUGGAAUUACCAGGUGGCAAAGCCUGACUUAGCAUUCCAGAUUUGUGAUAGACCUCCAAUGACAAUUCACAGACCAUAUUUGUCUUAGGGUUUGAGUCUAUCAGUGCCAUUCAGUUUGAGUGACAAGCAACCACAUGGAA